rnacentral:ribozyme from 1 species
UGUACGUCACUGAGGUUCAAAAGGGCCGCCGCGCCAGCGGUGGACACGCCGAGGUCCAGACGG